GAGUUUGAUCCUGGCUCAGGACAAAUGCUGGCGGCGUGCUUAACACAUGCAAGUCGAACGAGAAACUCGCCUUCGGGCGAGGAGUAAAGUGGCAAACGGGUGAGUAAUGUAUGAAUAACCUGCCUUCAAGAUUGGGACAACCUGCCGAAAGGCGGGCUAAUACCGGAUAAGCCCACGAUCCGAUACUGUCGGAAUGCGGGAAAAGAUGGUCAAUGCUUGCAAACUAUCACUUGAAGAGGGGUUCAUAUCCUAUUAGCUAGUUGGUGGGGUAAUGGCCUACCAAGGCAAAGAUGGGUAGCCGGUCUGAGAGGAUGUACGGCCACACUGGAACUGAGAAACGGUCCAGACUCCUACGGGAGGCAGCAGUGGGGAAUUUUCCGCAAUGGGCGAAAGCCUGACGGAGCAACGCCGCGUGAGGGAUGAAGGCCUUCGGGUCGUAAACCUCUGUCGUGCAAGAAGAAUGUCUUUUAGGUGAAUAAUCUAAAAGAGUGACUGUAUUGCAGGAGGAAGCUCCGGCUAACUACGUGCCAGCAGCCGCGGUAAUACGUAGGGAGCUAGCGUUGUCCGGAUUUAUUGGGCGUAAAGGGCGCGCAGGUGGUUGGAUAAGUCACUUGUCUAAUCCGCAAGCUUAACUUGCGAUCGGCAGGCGAAACUAUCUAACUAGAGUAUAGGAGAGGAAAGUGGAAUUCCCAGUGUAGCGGUGAAAUGCGUAGAUAUUGGGAAGAACACCGGUGGCGAAGGCGACUUUCUGGACUAUUACUGACACUGAGGCGCGAAAGCUAGGGGAGCAAACGGGAUUAGAUACCCCGGUAGUCCUAGCCGUAAACGGUGAACACUAGGUGUAUCCUGAGUUAUCGGGAUGUGCCGAAGCUAACGCAUUAAGUGUUCCGCCUGGGGAGUACGCUCGCAAGGGUGAAACUCAAAGAAAUUGACGGGGGCCCGCACAAGCGGUGGAGCAUGUGGUUUAAUUCGAUGCUACGCGAAGAACCUUACCUGGGUUUGACAUUGUAGUGAAAUUUUAUAGAAAUGUAGAACCUCCAGCAAUGGACACUAUAACAGGUGCUGCAUGGCUGUCGUCAGCUCGUGUCGUGAGAUGUUGGGUUAAGUCCCGCAACGAGCGCAACCCUUAUCUUUAAUUGCCAUCAGGUAAUGCUGGGCACUUUAAAGAGACUGCCGACGAUAAGUCGGAGGAAGGUGGGGAUGACGUCAAGUCCUCAUGGCCUUUAUAUCCAGGGCCACACACGUGCUACAAUGGCCGGUACAAAGGGUAGCCAAAUCGCAAGAUGUAGCCAAUCCCAAAAAGCCGGUCUCAGUUCGGAUUGGAGGCUGCAACUCGCCUCCAUGAAGUUGGAAUCGCUAGUAAUCGCUAAUCAGCAGGUAGCGGUGAAUACGUUCCCGGGCCUUGCACAC
rnacentral:rRNA from 1 species